rnacentral:rRNA from 1 species
CAAGUCGCACGCGAAGACCCCGCAAGGGGUUGGUAGCGUGGCAAACGGGUGAGUAACGCGUGGGCGACCUACCUCAGAGUGGGGGAUAACCUUCCGAAAGGAGGGCUAAUACCGCAUGACAUCCCGUGUUUGGAUACACGGACAUCAAAGCCGGGGAUCGCAAGACCUGGCGCUUGGAGAGGGGCCCGCGUCCGAUUAGCUAGUUGGUGGGGUAAUGGCUCACCAAGGCUCCGAUCGGUAUCCGGCCUGAGAGGGCGGACGGACACACUGGGACUGAGACACGGCCCAGACUCCUACGGGAGGCAGCAGUGGGGAAUUGUUCGCAAUGGGCGCAAGCCUGACGACGCAACGCCGCGUGGAGGAUGAAGACCUUCGGGUCGUAAACUCCUUUCGACCGAGAUGAAUUCCCGCCGAACUAAUACGUCGGCGGGGUGACAGUAUCGAGGGAAGCAGCCCCGGCUAACUCCGUGCCAGCAGCCGCGGUAAUACGGGGGGGGCAAGCGUUGUUCGGAAUUACUGGGCGUAAAGGGUUCGUAGGUGGCCAACUAAGCCAGACGUGAAAUCCCUCAGCUUAACUGGGGAACUGCGUCUGGGACUGGAUGGCUUGAGUGCAGGAGAGGAACGCGGAAUUCCAGGUGUAGCGGUGAAAUGCGUAGAUAUCUGGAGGAACACCGGUGGCGAAGGCGGCGUUCUGGACUGCAACUGACACUGAGGAACGAAAGCCAGGGGAGCAAACGGGAUUAGAUACCCCGGUAGUCCUGGCCCUAAACGAUGAAUGCUUGGUGUGGCGGGUAUCGAU